rnacentral:rRNA from 1 species
UACGUAGGGGGCAAGCGUUGUCCGGAAUCAUUGGGCGUAAAGCGCGUGUAGGCGGCCAUGCAAGUCGGAUGUGAAAACCCUCGGCUCAACCGGGGAAGUGCACUCGAAACUGCAAGGCUAGAGUCUCGGAGAGGAUCGUGGAAUUCUCGGUGUAGAGGUGAAAUUCGUAGAUAUCGAGAGGAACACCGGUGGCGAAGGCGGCGAUCUGGACGAUGACUGACGCUGAGACGCGAAAGCGUGGGGAGCAAACAGG